GACGAACGCUGGCGGCGUGCCUAAUACAUGCAAGUAGAACGCUGAAGGAGGAGCUUGCUUCUCUGGAUGAGUUGCGAACGGGUGAGUAACGCGUAGGUAACCUGCCUGGUAGCGGGGGAUAACUAUUGGAAACGAUAGCUAAUACCGCAUAACAGUAGAUAUCGCAUGAUAUCUACUUGAAAGGUGCAAUUGCAUCACUACCAGAUGGACCUGCGUUGUAUUAGCUAGUUGGUGAGGUAACGGCUCACCAAGGCGACGAUACAUAGCCGACCUGAGAGGGUGAUCGGCCACACUGGGACUGAGACACGGCCCAGACUCCUACGGGAGGCAGCAGUAGGGAAUCUUCGGCAAUGGACGGAAGUCUGACCGAGCAACGCCGCGUGAGUGAAGAAGGUUUUCGGAUCGUAAAGCUCUGUUGUAAGAGAAGAACGAGUGUGAGAGUGGAAAGUUCACACUGUGACGGUAUCUUACCAGAAAGGGACGGCUAACUACGUA
rnacentral:rRNA from 1 species